UACGAAGGGGGCUAGCGUUGUUCGGAAUCACUGGGCGUAAAGCGCACGCAGGCGGAUCGUUAAGUCAGGGGUGAAAUCCCGAGGCUCAACCUCGGAACUGCCUUUGAUACUGGCGAUCUUUGAGUCCGGGAGAGGUGAGUGGAACUCCGAGUGUAGAGGUGAAAUUCGUAGAUAUUCGGAAGAACACCAGUGGCGAAGGCGGCUCACUGGCCUGGUACUGACGCUCAGGUGCGAAAGCGUGGGGAGCAAACAGG
rnacentral:rRNA from 1 species